rnacentral:lncRNA from 1 species
CCAGCACUGGGCUGUGUCUGAUGGCCCUUACGUGGAUAACAUUGCCCAAAGUGGUGGCUUUGCCUCAUUGUGUAGAACCCAGCCUGGCUGCUGCACAAGCAGCCCAGGAGGGAUGCCUUCAGCUCCAUGGGGCAUUUUGCAUUGCAAAGCAUUUUGCUGCAAGCUGGCGGGGAAGAAGAGGGUAAGGAACACAGCUUAAACCCUUGUUUUUGUCAAAAGAGUUAAAGGCCAUUAAGAUCAGUCUUCUAAAGCUGGCUGAGAGAGAGCCGUAAUAGAUUCAGCAAGAUAUACUGUAUAUUAAAAGGUUCCUGAUUUUUUCCAAAUGAUAACCUGCUGAAGGAAAUGAUGUCCCCUGCCACAGUACCUGCUUGUCUAAUUGCAAACCAUGCAACCUUAUCCCCCCAGAGAUUUGGAGAUAAAAAAAACUCCACUGUCAUCACCUCCACCCUCCCUGGCUCCACAGCAGCAGGCCUUGGGAUGUGUGGAGAAGCAUGUGAGUGGCCCCAGCUCACCUAUCUUCUUGGGUUUCUCCCCGUGUAUCUGAGGAGCCCAACCUGGGGCUGCGUGCCCAUUCUGUGGGGCUGUGUCUCAAUGUGCCCAUCAGAGCAGAGUGCUGAUGUCUCACUCCACGGGACGUGCGCUGCCCGACAGCGCUCUGUGAAGACGUACAGUGUACAUCUGUGGAGAACUUCUCGCCUGUCCGUGUUACAAAUGUGACUAUAUCCAUACGACUUGUUCCCGCGCUUGGCACUGUUAUUGAACACAUCAUUUUGUUUUGUUACUGCCUUGCAGAGCUAGGGUGGCUUUGUAUAAAUAUUCUCCCUCCGGUUUUCCAGCUCUGAAAGGCAGCGGUGGGAAGAAGAGACAAAUUGGGAAGGCACUCCGAGGCAGCAGCCUGCUGGGAGCAUAGUCACUGCAAAACAGGCCAGCUUUGUGAUCACAGAAUCACAGAAUGGCUUGGGUUGGAAGGACCUUAAAGAUCAUGCAGCUCCAACCCUCUGCCAUGGGCUGGCUGCCCCCCACCAGCUCAGGCUGCCCAGGGCCCAUCCAUGGAUAUGAUAUGGGCACCCCGGCUCUGGGCAGCAGUGCUGGGGCUGCACCAUCCUCUGAGUAAAGAAUCCAUUUGGCCCCCCUCUAUUGGGGGGGGGGGGGGGGUAACAGGAGGCGUUGAUCUGGCUGUCUACUGCAGGAGUGCAUUAAUUGAACAAAUUUUUAUAGCUCUGGAAGACUAAAUGACUUUUCUGCCUCUAGGCUUUCCGCACAGGAUUGUAUAUUCAGGUGAAUGAAAUAUAUGAGUUCGGCUGUGGGAACAUUUAGCAAAACUAAAAUCUUUAGCUAAAUUUGCCACCCCUGACCCCUACGCACAUUUAUUUGGUCUCAUUUUAGAAAAUUAUCCUUUUUUUCUGGGCUUGUUAUGAAGAGAGGAGGCAGAUAAAACGGGAUGAGGAAAAAUCACCAAAUCUCCUUUCUUCCUCUGCUUCCCUGAGCUGGCAAACUCUUUUCUGGAGGGAGGGGCACAGCGAGCAGGGGCUUGUCCAUGCUGGAGAAUCACUUGAAUAAGGGAUGCCAGGAAAUGCACCAAGCAUCAGCUGUGCAGCUGUAGAGAGCCAGACCUUUCCUCCAUUUGCAACCCAUAGGCACUACUCUGUCAGAUAAAAAUACAUCCUGUCUGAUGUAUUUUUCACCUGUUCACUAGUGAAAAGGAAGAGUAUUUACAGACAGCUUCUCCAGGUGUUGCCCCAGAAGGCCACAGGCCAAGACUUCCCUAAAGGAAGGCUGUGACUUUACCUAAAGGGUGGGAGGGCAAGCUGUGAACGUUUGCAAACGUGUACCUCCCUUGUUAUCCUACAGGCAAGCUGGCAGAGUCUAUUUAGUAUCAUUUGAAAGUUCACUGAGAUGAAAAUAAUGACAAAAAAUACUGUGACAAGAUAAAGUACAGUGCUAUAAAAAUUCUCUACAGUGCUAUAAAAAUUAGAUUCUUAGCAGAAAAGAGAAUGAAGAGGUAAUUUAGUAAAAGUGAUGGAUGAACCUCUGAAGGUUUGGAAUUUCAGUUCAGUGCAGUCGCUUCUUCAGAUCUGAAGAGUCUGGGAAAUUCAGGAGCGUGGUCGCCAGCCACGAUAACCAGUCUCCCCUGGCUUUGACCUGCCUGAAAGCCAGUAACAAAAAGACGACAAGACUGGACUCUCCAGCUAGUCUGCCCAGUGGUAAUUAAAUUAACCUUUAUUCAACCUAAGCUAGUUCUCACAUUCCCUGUGGGGUAAGGACAUAUAUUUCCAUCAGGAAAAAAGGAGAAACUUGCUGCAGCAUCUGGUAGAGUUAGGGAGGAAUCACCUUUUGAAGGUAUCUCACACUGCGCAAGUAGCUUAUAUGGUCAAAACCCACCCUUUUGGCUGGAGAGUGGGCUACUAGUAAAAAAAAGAGUGAAUACUUUGAUAGUGGUAUGAUUGCCUGGCACUGACCAAUUUAGUGUUCCUGAUAAGUAGUAGCAGCUGCUUGUAUUUCGUAAGAGUUGUUGAUCCUCAGAUGUACAAGUACUGUACAAAAAAAAAACUGUAUUACUGUGUUUAUGACUGGAGAAGAGUGAGUCCUAGGGAAAUGGAUGAACCCUGGUCACCAUAGGACUGGAUGUUGCAAACAGAAAUAAAAUUCAACUCUACCAAAUUUUCCUAAGAGAG